rnacentral:rRNA from 1 species
AUGCUCUCACUUCACAUUCAGUACAGAGUAUAUAUACCUCUCGCCGUCACAACAAUUCAGUCACUAGAGGUGGACUCAUCAUGGCAAAGCAGAGCAGUGCAGUACAGAGUAUAUAUACCUCUCGCCGUCACGACAAUUCAGUCACUAGAAGUGGACUCAAUCAUGGCAAAGCAGACCAGUGCAUUACAGAAUAUAUAUACCUCUCGCAGUUCAGUCACUAGAAGUGGACUCAUCAUGGCAAAUAGAGCAGUGCAGUACAGAGUAUAUAUACCUCUCGCCGUCACAACAGGCCAGUCACUAGAAAUGGACUCAGCAUGGCAAAGCAAGCAAUGCAGUACAGAGUAUAUAUACCUCUCGCCGUCACAACCAGAUAACGGUGGCCAGGUGCACCUCCCUGACCCGGAUUAUAUGGGUGCCAUUGGAGGAGCUCGUGGUGUGUGUCAUCGGGUCACAAACGAUCGAUCAUUGCUGCUGCUGCUGCUGUUGCUGUUGCUGGUACAUAUAUCUAAGGUGGAACUAUAUUUAUAG